ACCAGCAAUGAAAAUGAAAGCAAAUCCUUCAGGUAUUGAUGGUGGUUCAAAAGCACUUAAAAUGGCUGAUUAUAAAGUUGACUCUGAUAAUCAUCUAUUGUUUAUAAAUAAUGAUGAAGGAAGAAAAUUUGGUUCACCAGUUAGAAUAUUUACAAAUUUACCAUUAAAUUUAAUCAAAUUAUCAGAACAAGAUGGUUAUAAAUAUUGUAAACGUUGUGAUAAAUGGUCAUCACAAGAAAAUAAACAUUGUAAAAAAUGUAAAUCAUGCACAUCAAAAGAUGGAAGAAGAUUACCCAUUAACGUGGUCGUCUUGAAUAUAUUUCACAAACAAUUAGUCCAAUGAUGAAUUUAUAAUAAAUAAUACUGAAAUUGCUAAUGUUGGAGAAAUUAGAUAUAGCUAUGGAAACGACAGAUGAUCCUACGACACCAACACAAGUAUUAAAUUCUCAAAUGGAAUUUAAAAUUGAUAAUGUUAUGUCACUUGGUUCACAAUCAAUUAAUAAUGAAACUGUUGUUCAAAAUAAUAAUAAUAAUUGAUCAUUAUAUGAAGCUCAAAUUCAACAAUUAACUCAACAAAAUUUAAGAGUGUAUGUGUAAUGGAGAUGUCAGUACAAUAUUACCAUUGACAUUUGAACAAAAAUUGAAUGACAAAAAUUGUUGCUGAUGUUGUUAAAACAGUUGAUGAUCCAGAUCCAAAUGUCAUUAAGAUUUAACGAUUAACUGUUAGAUGCAGCAAGUGAUCUUGAAAAGAAAGAUAUUUCAUUAAAUAUUGUACGAGUUAGUAGACUUGAAAAAAUGGAUCCAAGAGUUCACAGAGUAUCUUUAUCAAAUCUUGCGCUUCAUCAUAAAAUAUAUCAUUUAUCUGUGACGUCAAAUGUAACCCUUGGUAAUUUGGAAGAAGAUAUUCUCAAUAAUGCAGAUGUAAUUGCAUCAACAUUAACUUCAUCUUUCACAACACAAAUGGAAAUAUUCAUGGUAAUAAAUUACGAGUACCAGUUUGUAUAAUUGAUGAAGCUGGACAAUUUGUCGAAAUUGAAAGUUUAAUUCCACUGAUACUUGGGGUGGAAAAAUUGAUUCUCGUUGGUGAUCCACAACAACUACCACCAACAGUUAUUUCACGUGAAGAGCGAAAUCUUAUGGUUUGGAUUUAUCGUUAUUUUCACGUGCACAAAAGUACUUUAAAAAAUUCUCUUCAGUAAAUCCAAUACAAAUGUUGGACGUCCAAUACAGAAUGAUUGAUAAAAUUUCUUCGUGGCCAAACAAUUAAAAAUGCUGCAAACGUUUUAACCCUUCCAAUUGUUUCAUAUAAAUUACUGCAUCAUGAGUCACCACAAAGUGUUACCUCAUUUUCAAAUAUAAAUGAAGCAAAGAUUAUCAUCAAAUUACUUGAUCUUUUAAUCAAUAAUCUUUCAAAAAAAUAUGAGCAAGGAAAUUCACCAAGUAUCAGUGUAAUUACACCGUAUCAUGAUCAAAGAAAAAUGAUUUUAAAUCAAAUUAAACCAACCAUUUACUCAAAGCUGGUGUCAUCAUUAGAACAUGGGCAUAAAAAACUGGAAAAAUAUGAUGAUGAUAAUAAAGAUAAAUCCUUAAAUGCUGAUCAAUCAAGUAAUCAUUUAUAUCGUGAAAAAAAAGAAAAUUUAAAAUCAAAAAGAUCAGUGAAAUUAAAUAGUUAUGCAUUACUUGAAGAAAUAAUUGAAAAGAAUCUCGCUAGAAGUGAAAAAUAUAUUGCUAAUGGAUAGUAUAUUUAUAGUUGAAAUUUUUGAUGAUGAGGGUAAUGACGAUGAUGAAGAUGAUGAAGAUAAUUAUGACAACAAUUAUCCAGCAAUUACUGAUAAAUUCCGCAAGCGAAGCAAUGCAUUAAAAAAAAAACCAUUUUUAUUAAAAAAUAUUGAAGUAAGAAUGUCAAAGGUCAAUGGUACUAUUAAUAUUUAGGACAAAGAGAUUAAAAUAGCCAAUACUACUACUACUACUGCUGUUGAUGAAAACUUCAUAAAUUAUGGUUAUGAUAUUGAUGAUUACGAUUGCAGUAUAUUAUCAUCAUCAUCAUGAUCAACAACAAUAUGAUUAUUGCUUUAUUAAAUUUAAUAAUGAUAGAUUAUGAAAACAGACACCAUCAAAAAAAAGACAUUCAUUUUCAUGUUUAACUAGUAAAAAAACAAUGAUGCCACCAUUAUCAAGAACAAGUCCAACACCUGCAAAGAGACGAGAAUGUCUAGAUAUUCAUUUGAUCAACAACAACAACCAAUAAAAUCGUUUUGAUAGUAUGCCAAAUUUAGAUUGUAAUACAAGUUGAUAUAUUAACAAAAACAACAAUUCAGCUAUCAAUAGUAAUAAUAAUAAUAAUACAACAAAUGAUAAAUCACAACAAGAUUUUUAUCGUAGUAAAACACUUAAUGUUGGUGAUCAUAUACUUGCUGUUAAUCAUGUUCAAUGAUAAAUGUAUGUAAAGUACUGAGACAUAACUUUUUCAUUUCUGUUCAAUUAAUAAAAUAAUUUUUUACUUGUUUUUUUUUUUUCCCCAAUCAAUGAAUAAAUUAUUUUUCAGGUAAAUCUGGAAGUAGAAAAAUAUAAAGCGUGAGUUUACACUGGUGAAGAGAUCUUCCAAAGCCAUCAACAAUUUAUGGUAUUAUCAGUGAUUUAUGUUUAUUUUUUUUUUAUAUUCAAUAAAUUUAUUUUAUAUUACAAUUGAUAUGGCAAUUAAAGUAUCUUCAGUAUUCAUAAAGUUUUUUUUUUUUUUAAUUUAUAAUCACUCAAAGUAAUGUUCAAGUAAUUGUGAUUAUUAAAAAAUAUGGUAAUUGAUUCAAAUGAAUUUAAUUAUCAAACAAAAAUUGCAUAUAAAAAAAAAAAUUAAUCAAGAUAAUUAAUCGCACCAACUUCUUCAUUUCUCAAAACUUUAAUUAUUAAAUACCACAAUAACUUUGAAGAAUAACUUUUUUUUAAUAUUUAUUUCUUUAAAAAUGUAUAUUAUAUAUUUUUUUUUUUUUUGCAUCAUAAAUUAACUAUUGAAAUAAUUAAUAAAAAAUUCAACUG